UCAACUCUUGUAUUGCGUCCUGGCUGAGUUCUUGUGAAGCUGUAGUCUGUAUUAACUAGUUGUUUCUGUGUUGGUGGAAUGGGUCCUCGCGGGCCUGGAGGACCAGAUUGGGGAGGCCCUGGCCCUGGUUCUUGGGGGCCUUGGUUUGGUGGCUUCUUCGGAUCCUGGUAAGUUGAAUCCUCAGCUACUAACAGAAAUUUAAAGUGUGCAUUUUUGCCAGCAAAAUCAUCAAAUUAUUAUCAACAUCAACAUCUCCAAAAGAAAAAAAAAGAAAGCAAUUAUAUUCAGUUAGAUGGUUAGUGGUUUAGUGGUCAACUCAAUCAAAUUGCAAUAUAUAAGUGGCGAAGCAUACAUUAGUCGAUCGUUUAUAUUUGUUCCUUUGAAGUUUUUUUCCCUGUUUGAAACAGAUAGUUUAUAUUCUCUGAAACUCAGGACGAAUACUUCUUGUGCAGCUUCUACCUCCUCUGUUGUUGCUGCCUCCUCCAAGAUUGCUGCGGCCCAUUCUUCGGACCCCCGGGCCCAGGCGGCUCACCACCACCACCCUUCUGAUAGCAGCCCAACAUAUCCACCACAACGAAUAAUGCAGGCCUAAAUGUUGGCUGACAAGCGAACAUUCUGGCUGUUGGGAGUACCCCUUGCUACAGUAGUACACACACUACUGAAAAUAAUUGUCCUGUAUAUCUUGGAGAUGACUGUAUGCUCUUACCUAGUUACGUGGCACUUAUAUUGUUUGUACUGACUGAAUGCAAUUAUCGGUCUAUCUUCAAAAAAAAAGAAUGCAAUUAUGGUUACAUUUUGUUGGUGCUAUUUCUAGAUGGUUUUUGUAGAUUCAGUUGUUUACAUAAUUUUUGCCGGGCAGGUGUUCUAAUUUUACCAUAUGCUGUUGGAGGAUAUAUGUGUUGAUUAGAUUAGAUCAUACCAUACCAUAAACUUAAUUUGACACAAUUUUACUUUACAUACACCUUUUUUUGUUUAGCAUGUACUGUGUAUAGGCAAGGGUUGCAUAUUUACCUUGCCGGCGCCUUCAAA
rnacentral:lncRNA from 1 species